AAAGAAAAUCUUGUUUAUUAGUUUAAGAAAUUAAAGUAAUAUUUAAUAAAAUCAUUUUUGAUUAUUUAGCUUUAUAGUAGAGUGAAUCAAAAAACUAUUAGGAUUGGCGACAGAGCAGAGUACCGUAAGGGAAAGAUGAAAUAAGUUGAAAAUUUAAUUGGAAUAAAGUAAUAAUAAGUAUUUGUACCUUGUGUAUCAGGGAAGACCUAAAUCCACUAUAGAUAGAGAGAUCCCGAAAAAGAAAGAGCUAGCUUGUAGUGUAAGUUUUCGUGUUAAUGAAAUUUAUAAUUGCACUCUAGUGGUGAAAUGCCAUUCGAUUUCUUAUAUCUGGUUGUUGACGAAUUAAAUUUAAUUUAUCCUUUUUGCGGAAGUAUAAUCUGUGGGGAGAGAAAGAAAAGGAGGGAAAAGCUUCUUUUUCUAUUAAUGUGCGAAGUAGGGUUAAGUUCGGGUAUUAUUACUAAACUAGGCUUAAGAGCAGCCAUGUUAGUAAAGCGUUCUAGCUAAUGUUGUAAGACGGUAUUAUUUUUAUAAGAACCUACUGGCAGUAGUCAAGAUUGUUGCAGACCAUAGUAGCGAGAGUUAGACUGGUCUUAUUAGUAGAAACUUUUAUCUUGGGCAAUAGUUAAAUACAAGGAAGCUUAUAAGGUAAGUAGAGAUGCAGUUAAGGAAUUCGGCAAAUAUCACUUUUGCCUGUUUAUCAAAAACAUGUCUGUAUGGUUGUUAUGUAGAGUCUAGCCUGCCCACUGAUAUAAAUUAAAGGGCCGCGGUAUCUUGACCGUGCGAAGGUAGCAUAAUCAUUAGUCUCUUAAUUGGGGGCUUGUAUGAAUGGUUGGACAAAAAGUGAGCUGUCUCGGCUGUAGUAGUUGAAAUUAACUUUUAAGUGAAAAGGCUUAAAUGAGUUAGGGGGACGAUAAGACCCUAUAAAGCUUUACAGUGAAUAAAUAUAUCAUAACUUGUUAGUGUAACUUGGUUAAUUUUGAAGCUGUUUCGUUGGGGCGACGAGAAUAUAAUUUAAAUAACUGUUCUUUUAUAUAAUUUACAAUUGUAGUUGGGUAAAGAAUGAUCCUUUAUUAAAGAUUAAAAGAUUAAGUUACUUUAGGGAUAACAGCGUAAUCUUCUUUGAGAGGUCCAGAUCGACAGAAGGGGAUCGACAGAAGGGUUGCGACCUCGAUGUUGAAUUAAGAGUUCCUUGUGGUGCAGCAGUUGCAAAGGAAGGUCUGUUCGACCUUUAAAUUCUUACAUGAUUUGAGUUCAGACCGGCGUAAGCCAGGUCGGCUUCUAUCUCCUAAUUUUGUUGAAUCACCUUAGUACGAAAGGAUUAGGUGGUUAAAAUAAUUUUUUGGUGGAGAUUAACUUUAACA
rnacentral:rRNA from 1 species